AAAAAACGCGAUCUUUCACACUGAACCAGCAAAAUGUGACCCAAAAUGCUUACCCAGCUCCUCAGAGAGAACUGCUCCCACCUCCGUCUCCAUCCACCAAAAGCCGACAACUUUUCGACCACCACACUGGUGGAAGCCACAACUCUAGCCACCCUUGUUCUCAAUUCAUCAAACCCGCAAACUCUAGCCCAUUCGCUUCACUCUCCCGCCAUCCAAUGGACCCCGCAGCUAGUCAAUGCAGUCCUUAAAUGUCUCUGGAACCACGGUCCCAAGGCCCUUCAAUUCUUCAACCUCCUUUCCCACCAUCCUUCCUACUCCCAUCACGCUUCCUCCUUUGACCACGCUAUCGACAUCUCUGCCCGCCUCCGUGAUAAUCGCACCGUCUGGGCUCUCGUUUCUCGCAUGCGCUCUAGCCGCCUCGGAACCUCCCCGAAGACCUUCGCAAUUAUUGCUGAAAGGUAUGCUGCAUCGGGAAAAGCCCAUAGGGCAGUG
rnacentral:misc_RNA from 1 species